rnacentral:lncRNA from 1 species
GUCUUUGUUUACAAUGUAAACAACGAAACGCGGAACGACUCAAACUUAAUUAUUUUACAAAUAAAUAAUUCACUUUUAAAAUAUUUUUUUGUUAAAAACCUAGAAAUCAUUAGGUUUUAUGUUUUGUUUUAUAAUUUACACCAUACUGAAUCGAAGUUAAACAUCGGAUUUGCUUCAACAGAUCACAUUGUACUGUGUAAUACUACUACUCCGCCA